UGGCUCAGUUGGUAGAGCAUGGUGUUUGCAACGCCAGGGUUGUGGGUUCGAUUCAUAC
rfam:Salmo salar isolate Sally breed double haploid chromosome ssa18, whole genome shotgun sequence.